UCAAUGCGCGAAGCCUGAUGCAGCCAUGCCGCGUGUAUGAUGAAGGCCUUCGGGUUGUAAAGUACUUUCAGCGGGGAGGAAGGGAGUAAAGUUAAUACCUUUGCUCAUUGACGUUACCCGCAGAAGAAGCACCGGCUAACUCCGUGCCAGCAGCCGCGGUAAUA
rnacentral:rRNA from 1 species